UACGUAGGGACCAAGCGUUGUUCGGAAUCACUGGGCGUAAAGCGCACGUAGGCGGACCGGAAAGUCAGAGGUGAAAUCCCAGGGCUCAACCUUGGAACGGCCUUUGAAACUCCUGGUCUUGAGUUCGAGAGAGGUGAGUGGAAUUCCGAGUGUAGAGGUGAAAUUCGUAGAUAUUCGGAGGAACACCAGUGGCGAAGGCGGCUCACUGGCUCGAUACUGACGCUGAGGUGCGAAAGCUAGGGGAGCAAACAGG
rnacentral:rRNA from 1 species